UCGCAUACUCCUCUAAUCUGAGUAAUCUCUAAGUCUUUCGAGCCGAGCGAGUCCAUUUCAAUAUUUCAUAUAUUUCAGAUCAAAUCCCAUUUUGCCCUAGCCCUUACCCCCUAGCAGUUAGCCUGCUCCCAUUCUUCACACUUUUCGUGGAACUCGAUCUGACAUCCUCUCCACUUCUCCAGCCUCUGUCCCUCCGCCUCUCUCCGGCCUCCGCGGCGAACGCGCCUCGGGUGACGCACGAUCUCGAUCUCGGCUCCCAGUCUCCAAGUCUCGAUCUCGGCCUUAUCCGGCUCUCUUUGUAUGUUUGUUUUGUUUUGUUUUGUAAGUUACAUCUGAUUUUGAAUUGAACCCUUUUAGUCUUUUACGGGUUAUUCGAUCUUAUUUUGGUAGUUAGGGUUAUGAUUUCUAAGGUGGGUACUGGGUAAUCUUUUGAUUUGAGUGAUUGAAUCUUCUAAGGUGGGUACGGAGGGAUUGAAUCUUCUUAAAGGUGUAUUGGAUAGCAACUCUUGAGAUAAUAGUAGGUAAAGGAAAUUAAGAAUAGGUUGGGGUGCAGGGGAGGGAGGAAGGAAGGAAAGGGCCUGUACACUGACUGACGGGUUCAUGUUUUUUUUAACCCCCAUGUUGUUGCAGCCCCUCUCCUUUAUCCUUAUUGUUAUGAAAUAAACAAGUUAGUUUUAUUUAAUUUAGUUAGUUAAUUUUAUUUUAUUUUAUUUUUCUCAGAUCAUGUACCUUGUCAUAAAGUUAUGUUGUAUCUUUUCUUUUUUAGUGGUGCGCAGUGUAUAAAAUCCAUUUUGAAGGGUGCUUUGUUGUAUAAGAAAAUCUUUUCACUCAAUAAUUCAUACACAUGUAGAUUUGUUGUUUAUCAGGGCUUGUUUCUGAAACCAUAGUUUGCAGACCAGUGGGCAGUGGCUCAUUAUAUGGAGCUUUGAUUGGGUCUGUCCUGGCUUUUAAUGUUGCCGAUUUUCUAGGUGAGACUAAUUUCAUUCUUGUUCUCAUUUAUUUAUGUAAAUGCAUGUGUUCUAUCAGGUGUUCUUUAGUUGUGUUUUUCUGCAGUCAGUAAUGUGGUGUAGUUGUCAUACUUUUUAAGUUUUAAUGAUAAACCAACUGUGUCUGUGUUAAUGCCAGUUAAAUAGUACAGGAUUUGUGUUGCAUACUUGCAUGUUCAUGUUGUUGUACAUGAUGUGUGAUGUUCAUGGUCAUUUGAUGUACAGGAUUUGUGUUGCAUGUUGAUGUUGCUGUUGUUGACUUGUUGUUGGUUGUCGGCUGUUGUUGUAUGUUGUUGUUCGUUGUUGGUUGUUUGCUGUUGCACACUUGCACAAGCACAAUUGCUGUCUGCUGGUCUGCUGCUAGUUGCUGCUGCGUGCUACUCUGUCUCUGCUAGUAGAUUAAUUUCAUGUUGGCUUGUUGUUGCUUUGUUAAGUCAUAAAUUUGUUAAGGUCAUAAGGACUGGACAGUUAAUUUUUGUUGGUUUGUUGUUGCUGACUUGCUGUAUUUUGGACAGUUAAUUUGGCUUGCUUUGUUAAGUCAUAAAUUUCAUGUUGGCUUGUUGUUGCUACUGGACAAUUAAGUUAACAGUUGGCAGUUACUGGACAGUUGAUUUGUUAAACAGUUAACAUGUAAUUUAUGUUGGAUGAUAUUUCGGUUAUUACCCGAAUACCCGAAAUUACAAUUCCGUAAUUCGAUAUUCGGUUAUUUUCAAAUUUUAGUUAACAUUUCGGAUAGUGAAAUUAUCAAUAAUUCAAUUUUUCGAUUAUAACCGAAUAGCUUAUUCGGUUCGGUUAUAACCGAAUGAUCACUCCUAACUUCCACUCCCCCUAUCUCCAUCACAAGUCCCAACUUAUUGUCCAGUACCACAUCUUGUCCAACCUAAACCACCUCACCCACUUCAUUCACACAAAAAUCUCUGCUCUAACGUAUCCCAAGCUCUGUGACCUUGACGCUAUUUUGCUCCUCCUCCUCUUUUGCGAACUCCGCCAACAGGAUCCCAAAGCACUUGAAACAACACCAAUUAAAUGGCGUCUCACUCUUUGUAAUUAUUAUGUUCAUGAUACCAUAUUAACAUUUUCUGGUAUUAGUGUUUGAAAUAGUGUCGGUACAUAUUUUUUUCAUAGUACAAUUGGUAACCAAACCUUCAUACAAAGGUAUCCAAUUCAGUUUUAUUGGGUUACCAAUUAAUUAUAAAAAAUUUAAGAACAGUUUCCAAGUGUUUCCUGAAUUUGUUUUAUUUAACAUGUGCAACCAUGAAAAAUUUUAUUGGGUUCUGUAAUGGUCGUCGUCAGUACAUUUUUUUUCACAGUUCAGUUGGUAGCCAAACCUUCAUAUAAAGGUAACAAGUUCAGUUUUAUUGGGUUACCAAUUAAUUAUAAAAAAAAUUUAAGAAUAGUUUUCAUGUGUUACUUGAAUUUGUUUUCUUCAACAUGUGCAACCAUAUAUGAACAAUUUUAUUUGGUUCUGCAAUGGUCACCGUCAGUACAUUUUUUUUAUAGUGCAGUUGGUAGCCAAACCUUCAUACAAAGGUAACCAAUUCAUUUUUAUUAGGUUACCAAUUAAUUAUAAAAAAUUUAAGAACAGUUUCCAACAUGUGCAACCAUGAACAAUUUUAUUGGGUUAUGCAUUGCAAUUGGAUAGCGAUAAUUAAUUUCUCACUAAAUCAGUUUAUUUAAGGGAUGAUCAGAGAACGACAAACAACAAAACAAUGAUAGAGGAAAACACGAUAUGGUAUCUCGAUUGAACUGAAUUCGAAAACUUAAGAGAUGCCGGCGGAGGAUUGUAAUAUAUAGUAAUUAAUAUGGAAAAUACAGAACAAUUGAGUUUGGAGGCGGCAGUGUCGAGUAAUAUGAGUCAUCGAUGCCGUAUGGUGGCGGGAGAGAAUAGUAAUUAAAGGUGGGAACCGAUGGUUGCAGAGCUAGGCGGUGGCGAAAAGUAGUAUCGGUGGGCAAUUGGAGUUUGAUGACGGCAGUGACGGAGAGGGAAGCGACAGAGAUGGGGGAGGAGGAUAGAGAAUGAGAUGAAAAGUAGAGUGAAAGAAGAGGGAGAAUUCAUUAUAUUGACAUUCUUUUCGUAAUUUUUUUUGUGGAUGCACUAAUCUAGCUUGUAAUUACUUUCUAAUUGUUGUAUAGUAGUGUAAAGAACCCAUUAUUUUAUUGGCGAUAUACUUUGAUACACUAUUUUCAGAGCAGACCCAAAUCACCUGAACUAGCCGGUUCAACCGGCUGAAUCUGGAAUUGGUUAUAUGUCCAAUCCAGUUUAGACCGAUUGAACUAGUUUGGUCAAAACCUAAAUUGAACCUCCAGUAAAAUCAGUCAAGUUGACCUGGUAAAUAGAUGUUUUUUAAUUUUUGUACCA
rnacentral:lncRNA from 1 species